GAUUAAAUAGGUAUUUGGAUUCCAAAAUUUGCUGUCGUUAUCGCGUUCAAGUUGUGCUCUCUAGGGUUGGAAAUAAUUAAGAAUGUGGCUAGGUUUCUGCUGGAACACAUUGUCUUGACCCUUCUCGCAUCUGUAAUUUAUCCCCCCGUAUGGAGAAAUGUUUGGAUUUGGUUAAUAUUUAGUUCAGUUUUUGGAAAGUCGAAAUGCUAUGCGUAUGAGUUGCAACACUUGAUUUGGUUUUCUAUCACGAAAACGCAAUCGGUCCCCCAUUUGAGGGACAUGACUCGGUCACUCAGAGGAAGCUUCGUUGCAUUCUGAGCAGUUCUUCCAUCACAUGCAAAUGGAGAGAUUCUCUUUUUGCAACUAAUACACAUGUAUGUUUGUCGUUUGUUGCACCAAUGGUUCUAUAGAUAUUUGUCAUGUGACGUCUUUAGUUACACGAAAUUUUCUAGCGCAAAUGCCACACAAAUUACUUUUGGUGGUUCAGCAGUAACUCUACCCUUUGGACCCCUAUCCCAAACGUUAGCCUUUUGACUUAUAAGAUUGAUAUGCUGGACAAACUAAAUCGGCUAUAAACCGUAUAUAAAUCAUUAAAGAGAAAUAAAUAUUAGAGUAUGUGAAAAUGAAACACAGGAUUUUGUACUCAUGAUCAAAUGCACGAAAUCACUUUUUUUUUUUUUUUAAGAAGAAUACUCGUAAUUACUUGGAUAUAUUAGAUUUACGUUGAGAAUGAAUUUCACUUUCAUCAACUCGAUUCCAUAAGAUUCUAGACAAAUAUCAGAAUAUUUUUUAUCACUACUUCGGAACUUAAUAAACAGUAAGAUCACAUCCAAAGGUCUUGCAAUAUUUUCCUUAACUCCGACGCAAAAUAUUUCCUACAUCUAAAAAUUUCAAUUUUUUUCACAUAAACUGUGAGUUCCCACAGUUUUCUAUUGAUUUUGAGAACUUUUACAACAUUCGUUAUAAGCCAAAGUUAGAGUCAUUCUACUUGUACCACAUGGUUCCUAAAAUUAAUUUAGGACAUUCCCAAGAUUUUGGACAGCUACAAAUCUCUUUGGGGGCUCCGCUAUUAGUUUUCAUUAUAUUUUUUUCUAGUUUUCAACUUAUAAAAAUCAAUGAAAAAUAGUUUUGGGAUCUAAUAAAGGAUAAAAUCAAAUCCAAGGGUCUUGCAGAAUUUUCAUUAAUUCCCACGCAAAAUAUUACUUAAAACUAAAAAUUUCGAUUUUUUUUUAACAAGCAGUUUUGAGAAUUUUUUAAGAUUCAUUAUAAGCCAAAUUUUGAGUUAUUCUAGUCUCACCACAUGUUUUGUAAAAUUAAUUUAGGACGUUCCAAAGAUUUUCGACAUCUACAAAUCGCUUUGGGGGCCUCGCUAUUAGUUUAUAUUAUUUUUCUAUUUGUUCAACUUUAAAAAUCAAUAAAAAAUACUUCUGUGACCUAAUAAACGGUAGGCUUACAUCCAAAGGUUUUGCAACAUUUUCGUUAACUCAUAUGCAAAAUAUUUCCUAAAACUAAAAAUUGAAAAAAAAAAUUCACAACAACUAUGAGUUAUCCAUGUUUUCUAAUGAAUUUUAAGGACUUUUACAAGAUUCAAUAUAAUUGAAAAUUUGAGUCAUUCUAGUUGCAUCACACCUUUAAUACAAUUAAUUUAGGACAUUCCCAAGAUUUUUUACACCUACAAAUCUCUUUGGGGCCCCACUACUAAUUUUUAUUAUUUUUUCUAUUUUGAAUUUUAAAAAUCAAUACAAAAUUAGUUUAGGGACCUAAUAAACAUUAGGAUCACAUCCAAAGGUCUGGCAACAUUUUCGUUAACUCCCACGUAAAAUAUUUCUCUAACGCCCUGCUUAGUGGGUGCAAAAAGAUGCAAUCUUUGUGCACGUAAAACGAGGUAGUCUUCGUGCAUGCAAAAUGAGGCAAACUCGAAUGCACAUAAAACGAGGCAAGCUUCAGGCUCGUAAAACAAGGUUGGCUUGGUGCAUAAAAAACAUGUAAAACGAGACGGACUCCGCACACAGAAUGAGGUGAACUCAGGUGCUCGAAAAACGAGGUUGGCUUUGUGCACGCAAAACGAGGAAGGCUCGAUGCACGAAAAAUGCGACAUGCAAAAUGAGACGAACUCCACGCAUGCAAAACAAAGCAAAUCUGGGCGCACUAAAAAUGAGGCAGGCUCCACUCACAAAAACGAGACGAGCUUCUGUCACGCUAGACGAGACAAUCUCGGUGCACGAAAAAUGAGGCAGACUCCGCUCACAAAAACGAGACGAGCUUCUGUCAUAAAACUAGCCAGGCUUCUGGCACACAAAAUGUGGCGUGUUCCGUGCAUGCAAAAUGAGGGGAGCCCAGCGCGCACGCACAUACAAAAAAAAAAAAAGAGAAAAAAGGCAGACAAAACGAGGCGGGCCUAGGCGCACGGGGCAGCCAUUGUUGCCCACAUGAAACAUUGGUGACGGGAGUGGAGCAUAUAUAAGCCGCUAUCAACUUUGGGCCUUGCCGUAUGACUCUAAGCCUUCAUGCUACAUACCUCAGGUUGCGGAAGAAGCUUCGGAUAUGGUUUUGGCAGAUGAUAAUCUCAGUACUAAUGCUUCCGCUGUCGCAGAAGGCCGGGCCAUUUACACUAUCAGGAAAGCUUUUAUCCGGUACAUCUCUUUGUUCAUCAUCCUCCCUAUUUCACCGUCCAUUUGCAGGUACAUGAUAUCUUCAAAUGUCGGAGAGGUCAUAUCCAUAACUGACUGCUGAGUUGGGAAUACCCGAAUGCAUGAUACCUGUGCAGCUUCUGUGAGUAAAUCUGGCUACCGAUGGACCCCCCCGCAACAGCUCUCGGUUUUAACCCAGCUGACAUUCAUAUAAUGAAGAAACCAACUCGGAGCUGCUUCUGGUUGCCAUGUCCGUUUCUCACAGACGUGUUCAGUGUUGUUCCAUUGAGUCCGAACGAGUGGCUCCUCAUAAUUUUGAUCUCCGCACCGGUGAUACUCGUCGAUGAGGUUCUUAAGUUAAUAGGGAGGAGAAAAUUGAGAAGAAAGAAAGAGAAGACAGCAUGAUACAAUCUAAGGUUAUGAUCAGUAGGAAAACAAAUUCAUUGCUUAAUGAAAAUAGAACUGGAAGUUUGAAUUAAAAGAGAAUAUGAUUCAUAUGAAAGGAUAUAAACGACACAACUUACUCGAAAAAUUUAUCGUGAAUUUUUUGAACGUUUCCUAUGUAUGCACAAAGAAUCCACAUCCUAUAGUAGAAAAAGAAUUUAAUUUUGGUCGAAAAAUGAUCUCAGCUUUCCUUACCAGGCUACCACUGGUGGCUUUGCAAUGAUCUCUUCUCCUUACACCAACGUACAAAUCAAGCUUCAAAUAUACAAGCGGAAACCAAGUUCCUGCGACACCUCAUUUCUAUGUAAGAGCAGCACAAUUUAAAUUGUCAGUUUCAGUCUCGAAGCUGCUACUCCGUGUCAAGACAAAUUCAAUUGCGUCCCUCCGAUCCCAUGUCGCCAAAAACCAGAUGAUGGGCAUACUGGACAGAGAACCAUGCUGCACCUUCUUAUAAAAAUAUGAAGGGCUCUCUCUUGUCUAGCUUUACAUGGCCAGUCCCCGUGUUUAGUAAUCGUUGCAAAGUUUAAGCACAAGGGUGAGUUUAUGCUUGACCUUCAAAUCAAUGACUCGUAGCUGAAUCUAUGAAGCUCCUUCAGAAAUAAGAAGACUGAUCGUGAAGCACGUUCAAGUGAGCAAGUAUUCUGGCUGCCAUAGAUUUUACACUACCGCUUCCACGCUGAGUUAUGUCGACUAAAGGCAUCUGAGCGGAGCCUCCAAACUUCUGUUUAAACUCCAGCAGCCGGAACAUUCUUUCUAGAGCAUUUAAGGCCUUCUCUUGCAAACUAGGGUAUGGUUGAACAAGAAAUUUUAUUAUAGGUGGGAUGGCAUUCGCAUCUGUGAGCACCUUACUACCCAUCUGCAGUCUCUCACCUUCGAUUAAAGUUAAUAGUGCAUCUAAAGAAGCCUCACAAGCUCCAGGAUCAGGUUCCCCAAGAAUCCUAACCAGUGGGCCCACUGCACCAGCCUCCACAAGGCAAAAUGAUGAAACAAUGCCACAGAUUCCACCAUGAACAGGGCAUCUGGUUUCUGGUGGGGCCGAGAAGCAGCAGAAUCCUUUGCGGUUAGGUGAAGACCUGCUCAACUGUGGUGAACUCUUUGAAAAUAGAGAAAGAGAUAUGGCUGCACGUUCCUUUGUCAAUGAGGUUCCAGACUCCAGCAAUUGUACGAACAAUGGGAUAAUGCCAGCUUCAGCUGCACUCUUUUGCCAUUCCAAGUUUGUUGGAGCAGUGAAACGACAAAUGGCUCCGACCGCAUUCUCUAUCAACUGAUUUCUAUGGGAACCAUUCUGGAGAAAAUUGAGUAUGACAGGUAGUGCCCCAUCAUCCAUAAGCCACUGUGUGAUCUCGGGGUUUUCCGGAAUGUUAGAGAUAAUGCCCAUUGCAGAAGCAAUCUCUUCUUCGUCAUCAGAAGUUUUGAUGAUCUUGAAUAUAGUCUCAAUGCACUUCUGAUUCACAUGCUCCAGGAUAGUGGUGACUUCACUGCCGCGUUCUACUAAGCAAGAGAACAGCUUUACAGCAUUUGCUCGUAGGUUUAGGUCAUCAUUCUCGCACAACUGAACCAAUACUUGUAAAACCGAGGACUGUAAAAGUAACAAAAUCAGUGAAAUCUUAUACAACGCUUGUCCAGCAGAAGCAGAUUAAAUCAAGUUAGCAUCUGGUAAAGAUGUUAUUAUAUCAGGUUAUGAGAUAAACUGUAGAAAAAGAACUGGGAAUUAAACUCUGAAAUUCAAUGAAAGGCUACCUCUGAUUUAACAUUUUCUAACUUCACAUUUCAAUCAACCCAGAAGAACAUGGUAUAUCCAUAAAGGAGACGAUAACUCAAAAUAUAUCAAUAAAUUCUAUAAAUACAACCUUCUCUUAAUAAAGCUUCAAUUAAUUUCUAUUUCUUUUUGCAUAAAUUAUUUGUAUGGGAAUUUGGAUGUGCGUCACAAAUCCAAAUUGUGCAUGCACUACCCCAGUUGUUAGCGCAAGAGGGUAAUGGAGGAAAGUUGAGUGAAGAUGACUACUAAUUGCAAAACAUAAUAAAUCCCAUUGCAUUUUCUUAGAAGGAAAGAAAAAGGCCUGUCAGUUGAAGCUUCACUUCAUAUAAUUUCAGUUGAUAUCCCUUUGAACCUUCGCCUACCUCCCAAGUUCUUAUGAGACUAGCCACAUUUAUAUUCGAACCUCUAAAUCCUGUUAAUAUUCUAAUAGUAGAUUUGUGUGUGCAGGAAAGCAAUUUUUAUUGAAAUUAAAAUCUCUUGUAAAAUAAGAUGCACACCUGCAUCAACUUGCUCUUGAUACUUGUAGCAGAGGGGGAUUGACAUAAGGUGUGGAAGGUCCGAAUGAUGCUUUGCUGUACAUUAGGCCCCAUCAAGCUAAUCAAAGAGAAAAGCUUGACAAUAUCUUCAUCUGAUUCCAAAAAUGAAACGGGUGUCUGGUUGGAUUCUUGAGACGCCAUUGACAUGGAGAGUUGCAUAAUCGUGGCUGCUAUAUAUUCACGCAAACUUGAUGAUGACGGACGAAGAUUGAAAAGAAGGUCAAGUAAUGGGCGUUCUGCACCUUCUCGAAUCAUCUGUAGACCAUUUUUAGGUAAGCUUGAGAGGUUUCUAAGAGCUCUAACAGCCACCAUUUUAAUUGGAAUGUCACCAUGUGAGACCAUGUAAAGAAGCGGACUCAUUACUCCUCCUUCAACCAAAGAUUCUUUAUUGUGGUCGGUCAACUCCAUCUCCGCCAAAUUUGAUGCCAUGACUGUUUUUACAUCCUCCGGUCCUGAAUAAAAGAAAUACAAAAGUUAUAGCAAAUAACUUUCUUUACUCAAUAGAUGAACCCUUAAGACACAUAAAAUGUGCCAAAUACAAACUGAAAAUCCAUUGCAUACCUAAGGCUAUCUUAAGUAUAAACAUACAAUAGAUAGAACACGUUUAAGCUUUCAUAAACUAAACUAAAAGACAUAUUAAUGUAUAAAUUGAAUUUUACAUAAUCAUAUCCAAGUAUGCAAAAAUGUAAACUAAUGGAAUUCAAUUGGAUUUGGUGAAAAAACAGAUUGCAAAAGAAUAAAUUGUACUGAUAAAAUUUAAAUUGCUAAACUUGUGACUACAAACAAUAUGAAAAAUCAGAAGGUACCAGUUAGAUAUAUUACUAAAGGUUGCAAAAAAUAAAAAAUAAAAAAUUGAAAAUUGAACCUCGUAAUUGUAGGUUGACUAAAGGUUGCAACUUUAGCUUCAAAAUAUCUAUUUUGGUAUUUUACAGUCUUUAUGAGUGUACAACCAGAAAACAAAGAAAAGGUCCUGUAUAAGGCAUUUAUGAGAAAUCAAGAUGAAAGAAUAUAAGAGAACCUGUAGUGAGACGCUGCAGCAAAUGUUUAAAAUAGUUUGCCUUCGCCAUCUGUAUAACAUUCUCAUCAGAGAAUGACAGAUUCUCCAGUAGCUCUUGUGCAUCUCUGGCUGCCCGAUUAUCAUCACUGUUGGACAUGGUAACUAAUAGGAGUAUGCAGCCUUGAACCUUCCCAAUGCAUUCUCUUAUCAAAUUACUUUUUGAUAACUCCAAAAGUAAUGCAACUGCUAACUUCCUUUCCUCAACACGGCGCCCAAGUGAACGAACAAUAGAUUCAAUGCCAUUAUCAACUAUGGCAAUUCUUUCCUGCAACAAUAUUUUCAAAGUUAGCCAUACAGGAAGGAUUUAAGAAAAUCAAAUGUGUAGGAAAAUGAAGAACAACAUUGUUCAUCAAAAGAAUAUCACAGCAGAGAGAGAGGGGGAGAGAGAGAGAGAGAAGAGUACACGAUGUAGUUACAGUAAACAAAGUAUUACCUUCGCAUCAUCACUAUCCUUCACCAAAAUGCAAAGGAUGAGAAGAGCAUUGUUCCUUAUCUCAGGAGUUUUAACAGCAAGAAGUUGAAUGAGAAUAGGUAUGUAGUUCUCCAGUAUGAUCCAUUCCUUAUGCAAUUCUCUUUGUUUACAGAGAUCUAGUAAAUCACCCAGGCAAUCAAGCACUUCUUCUUCUUCUUCAGAUUGGAGUUUUGAUUUCAAGGAACCAAUCAUAAUCAUCGUAUUUCUAUCCUUCCAUUCUUCUAUGGAUUGUCGGAGAGUUUUAUUGGGCCGCAAAAUUGAUCUGUCCAAAGAAGUCAUGGUCAUGGGGCAUGAUUUGUUCCCAUCAGCAAACCACUUCUCUAUAGCACUUCUCUCAAAUGUCUGUCCAGAAGAAGUUUCCACAGGGUCUAUCAUAACAUCCCUGGUGAUUGGACAACAAAAUGAUUGAAGUGGUUCCAAUGGUUGAGACCCUAAAGAAUUCCGCUUAAUCAUAUAUUUCAUUUCUUUCUCCUUAGAAGAUGAAGCUGCAUCAGCCCCUUCUAAUAAAGCAAUUAUCUGUUCCAUCUGUAUAGCUUCAGCCUGGUCUUUCCUCAGCCGAGCAUUUUCUAUCUCAUUCCUGAAUUCCUCUAAUUCCUUCUUGAAGACUGACCUCUCAGUUGAGAUUCCGAUUGCCCCUGCUAUGAGAACCACCAAGUUAUUUGCAUAAGCACGAUCAACGUUUCUCUCCUGGAUUCCAGACUCAAUUUUGUCCAAAAUCUCUUCUUCUGCUAUUGCUGCCCUGAACUCAGCUCGCUGCAUAUUAUCACAAAGCUUUUCAAUUUCUUCAACUAUGCCAGAUGAAAGAUCUAGUGAAGUCAGGGGAAGAAGACCUAAAGCCCGACUGAUCUCUUUCAUAGUGUCUCCUAGGCGCUUAACUAUUGUUCGGCAAUGCAUUAAGAGAUACACUUUGUUUCUCUUCCUGCACUCAAGUGUCAGUUGCUUUGCACCUCUGAUUUCUCGGUUAAGAAUGGCCAUAACAUUGCUUAAGCUCUCAGAAUGAAGAACAGCUUUCUUGUUCAACUCCUUUAAGAUGGGGACUAUCCUUUCCAGAUAAGUUGAAAGCUCUUUAAACGUUUCCUUCUUAACAAGGACAUCCCCGGCAGCAGCUGAAAUUUCUAAAAUGGCCUCCACUAUUUGAGAAAUGAUUUCUGAAGCCGGAGCAGAUGCAGCAUUUGAAACCAAGUCUACAGCCAACAUUUUGAAACUCACCAACACUAGGAAGUGAGAUCCUCAAUUUCCAUUUGAUUGCACAACUGACAAAAAAAGCAGAAGCCUUGCAGGACAACAACCUCGAGCUUCUGAUCCGAAAUAGUUUUCAUGCCUGCUUUACCUUCCAUUUUUCUCUAUAUACCUUUCAAUCUGAAAUAUCACAGUAUUUUCUUAGUUUUAGUAAUGCUACACUAGAAUGAUUACACUUGAAUGUAUUCCCUCAUAUACAUAUGGACCAACUCUGCAUUAAGAGCACCAAAUAAAAAUCACACGAAACUGAAAACUGCUUAUAAAUUUUCUGUUUGGUUGCUGAGAAUUAAGUCUUGUAUUCUCUUUAAUUCGACACAUUGAGGGUUCCGCUUCUGCUCAAUGUCCCGAAUCUACUCACUAGUCUUCAAUUACCCAUUUUUCAGAAAUCAAAACAACAUGAAGUAACACUAGAACUGCCAGUUUCUUCACUACCCCUUCCGUUUCCUCAGCGAACAAAAGAAAGGUCGUUUUGGUUAGUUUAUCAACAAUUAAAUGACGGACGGUAAGCUCGUUUAUAAAUCUUUAUUGGCUCUAAUGAAGUAUAGGUCCCUUGUUUCAUUAAAAAAAUCUUGAAAAUUUUGUAAUUUACCGAAACUAGUUCUUCUUUUCCUAUUUCGCUCAACAACGGAAUUAACAGAACUAUCCUAGACACUACAAUCCCAGAAGAAACGACUAGCGAACCCGAAAACAAUUACUUCUGGCAUACCCUAGCGACAAAUAUCAUGCAUUUGCAACACAGAGAAUUAGAAAGCACAAAUACUAGUAAAUUCUGGUCCUAAUUCAAAAAUCUGAAAUUAAUAAUGCUUCCUUUUCCACCUUCUCUCUUCAAUUUUGGGCUCGAAUUGCAAUCCAGAAGGACCCCCAUUAAACAUCAAAUAUGCAAAUAACCCAGAAUUCCAAAGACCCCAUUUAGUCAACACAAAAGUCUUCACUGAUUGAAGAAGAUAAAGUUCAAGAGACAUACCUGAGAAAAAGCUCAUGCCCACCAAAACUCACAGCACCAUCACUCUUCUCCCCACAAUUUUCCAGGGAUACGCACCCAAGAAACCCUGUCAAAAAUACACAGAAUAUUUCAAAAGUAGAGGAAUAAAAGGGAUUUCCUUUCUCUUUUUAUCUCUUUUGGGUAAUUUGGAAAGUUGUAAUCUGAGAAAUAAGUCGUCUUUUAAGCUUGUGGGGAGACUGAAGACUCCCACUUUCCCCCACUCUUGACUCUUUCUUUGAAGGGCCUGAUUGAAAAAAACACAAAAGACCCGUUCCUUAAUUUCUGAGGUAAAUUUUUAUAGCAGCAAAAGAUAAAGUGGGAAAAUUAAAAAAAGAAAUCAUCUUUUCUUUCUGGGUCUUUUGCUUUGAUCCUUAUGGAGCUUUCACAUUCAGCUCGGCAAGGCAGCUUCAGCAAUCGUUGACUGAAGUAGCAUCAAAACUGUGGACCCAAAGAAAAUAUAAUCAAAAUUGAAGUUUAAACGACAUCCUUUUCUGCCUUUUUUUUUCUGAAAAAAAAUAAAAAAUUAGCUGGUGGUUUUGUCAUUGCAGUCCAUUCUUUUCAGAGGCCGAAAAAACAUUUUAGCCUUCCCCGACCAUCAUCCUGUGAUUCACCGCUUCCAGGAAUCUAAUUCAGGACGUGCUUUGUAAAAUACGGGCUUGUAAUUCGUUCUCAACCACUAAGCAAUCAUGUGGUAAUUCAUCAUUUUUAGCUUCUCUUACACACUUAUUAAGUUUUUUUACGUUUAAUUAAUUCAAUUUGAUGACUAAAAAUAAAUAAAUAAAUGUGUAAGAAGCUAAAUGGGGUCUUUGGAAUUCUGGGUUAUUUGCAUAUUUUCUCAUUUUACACCAUAAAAUAUUAAAAUGUAAAUUGAUAGAGAUUAUAUAUUCAAAAGAACAAAAAUUGUAAAUUGAUACAAUUUCAAAACUUUAAUGCGAAAGAAUUAAAUUUUGAAAAUCUUUUUAAAUCUGACGGGACGGAUGGAAAAUGUAAUUAGCCCUAAAAAAACAUAUGGAAAAAAAAAGAAGAAAAUUAAUUCAAGAUUGGAAAAGUCAAUAACAUAGGCAUUGCCAUGAGCCAUCAUCCGUCUUUGAAAAGUAUGAAGUUCUUAAACACGUAUUGGUUGCGGGGCCCAUUUCCGUCUCAAUAGUCAAUUACUUUGUUUCUUUUCUUUUUCCACAAAAACAAGAGAAAUUUUGAUCUCCAUUAUCCCACAUUUUUCACAUUUGUGGAAUUUUACUUAACAAUGUUUAAUCGAUAAAGAAUUAUGGAGCUUGCAAUGUCUUGUAAUUAUGAUAUUCUGGUCCUAAAAGCACUUAUGUUGGCAAUGAUUUUCUGGUCCUAAACGCACUUAUGUUGGCAGCCAAACACUCAGCAAAGUACCAAAAGCACCUCUUGUAUUUUUAACAUUUAGAAAACAAUCUGUUUUUUUGUGAACACCCUCCUGCAAACUUAUGGUGUAAGACCAUCUCCAACCGAACGAGGGUCAAAUGGCUCGUUUUAGUCCUCUAGUCCUCCAAGAUAUUAAUAUUUUAAUGAACAAUAGAUAAUCAUAUUUGUCUCCAUCUCCAACCGAUAACCAAAGGGCUAUAGGGCUCGUUUUAGCCCUAUCACAAAAAAAUUGUCUCCAACCGAAGGCCAUAGGGCCACACAUAAUUUAUUAUUUAAAUUUAAAAACUAUAACAACUAAAUUUGAAAGCAACAACAAUUUAUAUUUAAAAACUACAAAUUAAAUUUAAAAAAAAUAUUAACUUAAAUUUAAAACUACAACAACUUAAAUUUAAUAUCCAUAAUCAACAUUAUCUUCAUCAUCCGCCAUUGUAGGAGUAUAAUCAGAGGUAAACAAUUGCCGCCGGGUUAUAAUAUCUUUUUUUUUUUUAUCAAAAUAGGGCUUACUCAUUGUAGUGUAAUUUGAAGUGUUCUUUUCCAUAUUAUUAUCAUCCAUCUCUUCUUGUAUUUGUUUGGCCCGUUCUUCAUGCCUACGGUUCCUUUCUUCCACGGCAAUGACAUUUUGCUCCACCAUUAAUUGCAAUGAGGCUGCCACUUCCUUUUGAGCGGCGUAAUCAUCAUUUGCCUUACCAUUUUCCUUCAACCUUCGGGCCUUGUUUUGUCUCAUAGCCCUAGGUAUGGAACCUUCACCCAAAGAGGGAUUUUCUACCCUUAUUUGUUGAAUGGUAGGAGAUCCAUCUUCAUCCAUAUUUGCAGCUGAGGAUGCAGUUCUGAACACCAAUGUAUGAGCUACUCUAUGUUGAGGUGAUCUUCAAAUAACACCCAAUCUUUAGAAAUUUCCGAACAACCGUGAAACUGAAAGGGUUUCAAGCUACCCUCCAUAUACAAUUCCUCCGCUUGGCGUACCUAGAAAAUAUAAUUACAAAAAUUCAAGGAAAUUAAUUUAUGAAAAUAAAUGUAAUAUAAUUAAAUGUAUUUACAAAAAUUAAAGGAAAGUAAUUCAUGAAAUUAAAUGUAAUAUAAUUAAAUAUUUAAAAUAAAUUGUGAAAACACUUACUUUGUUGUAGUAGUUAGCGCUGCUUUCAUGUCUACUUGCAGCUGCUAACAAUGCUUGAUAUCAUUUGUUCAAACUUGGGUGAAGAUGUUUCUUCCAUCUUGAAGAACAACUCUCAUGGUUUCGGAUAUUCAGUGGAGUGGUGCCUUCAUAGAAAUCUAAGUAUUUUUGGACACACGAGUCCAAACACCUUCACUUGUUUGAGAACUCCCCCUCACACUAUCUUCCGACACCCAUCUCUAAGCCCUGCAAAUAGCUUCAUCUUCUUUUCGGGUCCAAACCCUACCUUUCAUUGCAGAUAAGGCCAUUUAAAAAUUAUUGAAAGAAUUGAAGAAAAUAUUUUUGAAAGAGGUAAGAAAAUAUGAGAAUUGAAAUGGUGAAAAAUUUGUGAAGAAUGGUGAAUGAAUGGCUUAGGUAUUUAUAGGAAAAAAAAAUGAGAAUUUUUAAGAAUUUAAAAAAAAAAUUUGGCCCAAAAAAAAAAAUCCAAUGGUAACUAACGGCUAGCUGACGUCAGCUAGCCAUUGCAUUUGAAAUUUGGCUUAUAAUUCAUGUCAGAUAUAACCGACAUAUAUAUUCUUAUCGAUUAUAUCCGACAGGAUUGGUGAGAUUUUUGGUCAGCAUGAGGUUGGCUAGUUGGCUGGAUUAGGAAAGCCCUUUGGCCCUUUUAAAUUUCGUGGGGCCCACGAGUCCUCUGACUUAACCCUCAGUUGGAGACGAUUUUUGGGCGUUUUUCGGCCUUCUGGAUCAUUCGUUUGGAGAUGGUCUAACUAUUUGGAAGUGAAUUUGUGUGUGGACGUUUGUAUUAAGCAACAAAUUUAAGAGGUAGAAACAAAAAACCGAGAUAGGGUGAGACCACACAAAUAGUGUUUUUGUUAAUCAAAUGACUAAUACAGCAACAAAUUCAAGAGGUAGAAAAAAAUGCAAGAUCGGGUGAGAUCACACAAAUGGCAUUUCUGUUAAUCGGAUGACUAGCGUGGUGCAAGUGUUCGAAACAAAGAAUUUCUCCAACUGUUUAGUCAAGAACAUGGGAUUUCAAUUUUCAAGGCAUUCUUCCAAUUGAGUUCAGACAGUUCAUUUAUCCGCCCCAUUCAUUUAGUUUUUAUCAUGAAUUGAGUUGACUAGGUAGCAAAUUAGGGAUGAGGAUCUUUGUGAGGAUCUCAUGGAUUACUUCAUCGUGUUUGUUCAUCGUACAUCGUGCGAUUAGUUUUUGUCAGAUAUUGGUUAUGUUCAACUUUACAACAACAACAACAACAACAAAGCCUUUUCCCACUAAGUGGGGUCGGCUAUAUGAAUCCUAGAACGCCAUUGCGCUCGGUUUUGUGUCAUGUCCUCCGUUAGAUCCAAGUACUCUACGUCUUUUCCUAGAGUCUCUUCCAAAGUUGUCCUAGGUCUUCCUCUACCCCU
rnacentral:lncRNA from 1 species